UACAAUGGAUGGGUACAACGAGUCGCGAAACCGCGAGGUUUAGCUAAUCUCUUAAAACCAUUCUCAGUUCGGACUGUAGGCUGCAACUCGCCUACACGAAGUCGGAAUCGCUAGUAAUCGCGGAUCAGCAUGCCGCGGUGAAUACGUUCCCGGGCCUUGUACACACCGCCCGUCUUUCCAUGAGAGUUUGUAACACCCAAAGC
rnacentral:rRNA from 1 species